GGAAAUAAUUGCAUUCCCUGCAAAAUGCUUUAGAUUGUUUAUCUAUUUUGUUUCAUAAUUUUCAGUAGACAUAGUAUAUGAUUAAUUAGUUGUUGAGCAUGUUGGAGUACUUCACUACUUGCAAAAUCAUGCUGUUUUUAUAUAAUUGCUGGCUUUCCAUGUGAUAUACUAAUUUAAGGGCCCAUCAAAAGUUUGAUGUUGAAUUGAGAUAAAUAGAAGUUUAAGAGGCAGCUCAUAUGUGUAAGCACAGUGAAAAAUUGAGUUUCGAUUUUAAGUCCUAGUUGUUCUUUUAUUUUACAUUUCAAGAUGCUGCCUGCAUUGACCAUCUCACUUGUCAAAAAUGAUAUUCAGUGUCAAUGACUCAGUGGUUAGCUGUAAUGUCAUGUUUUGAUCCCUACAAUUAAGAUGUGGUCCAAUCCUGUUUAAAUUUUUUCCAGUGUAAUUCUUUCGAUAGUUAAUAUUUUAGAAGAAUGUAUAUUAGUGGUUGCUGUUGUAGGAUAUGAUUAUGAAAUCAUGACCUGGAACCUCUCUCUCCUGCAUUUUCCUUUUCUUGUUGUACUCAUUCGUGCAUUGUCCUUCAGACUAUUAUCCACUCAUGGUACUAGCAAAGAAGGUUCUCGUUAAGAAAAAUAUGCAUUAGGUGGCUGCACUCAAUUUGCAACUUGUCCUAUCUGUUUCAUCUUAACUUUCAAUCAGAUCCAAAAGCAGUCACUCUGCUGAAUAUAGUAGCAUUUUUUGUUUUUCAAAAGUGCUACUACAUUCACUUUUAGUCCUUUUAACAUAUCAUGUUUUUUUAUCUUCUCAACAUCACUGUGGUGUCAUCCAUGUUUUAUAUUCUUGCUUUCCAACAGAUUUUCUUGUGCUAAAUAGAUGCAUCUCUUAGCUUUC
rnacentral:misc_RNA from 1 species